UAGGGAAUAUUGGACAAUGGGGGCAACCCUGAUCCAGCCAUGCCGCGUGAGUGAAGAAGGCCCUCGGGUUGUAAAGCUCUUUUGUCCGGAAGGAAAAGCAUUCGGUGAAUACCCGGAUGUUCUGACGGUACCGGAAGAAUAAGCACCGGCUAACUUCGUGCCAGCAGCCGCGGUAAUACGAAGGGUGCAAGCGUUACUCGGAAUUACUGGGCGUAAAGCGUGCGUAGGUGGUUGUUUAAGUCUGAUGUGAAAGCCCUGGGCUCAACCUGGGAAUGGCAUUGGAAACUGGGCAGCUAGAGUGCGGUAGAGGGUAGUGGAAUUCCCGGUGUAGCAGUGAAAUGCGUAGAGAUCGGGAGGAACAUCUGUGGCGAAGGCGACUGCCUGGACCAGCACUGACACUGAGGCACGAAAGCGUGGGGAGCAAACA
rnacentral:rRNA from 1 species